rnacentral:rRNA from 1 species
AUUGAACGCUAGCGGGAUGCCUUACACAUGCAAGUCGAACGGAGUGGCGAACGGAUGAGUAAUGUAUCGGAACGUGCCCAGUAGCGGGGGAUAACUACGCGAAAGCGUAGCUAAUACCGCCUGCAAUUGGAGCGGCCGAUAUCGGAUUAGCUAGGUGGUGGGGUAACGGCUCACCAAGGCGACCGGCCGUAGCUGGUUUGAGAGGACGACCAGCCACACUGUGACUGAGACACGGCCCAGACGCCUACGGAAGGCAGCAGUGGGGAAUUUUGGACAAUGGGGGAAACACUGAUCCAGCCAUCCCGCGUGUGCGAUGAGGGCCGUCGGGUUGUAAAGCACUUUUGGCAGGAAAGCGGUACCUGCAGAAUAAGCACCGGCUAACUACGUGCCAGCAGCCGCGGUAAUAC